rnacentral:rRNA from 1 species
GUCCCAGUUCGGACUGUAGUCUGCAACCCGACUACACGAAGCUGGAAUCGCUAGUAAUCGCGAAUCAGAAUGUCGCGGUGAAUACGUUCCCGGGUCUUGUACACACCGCCCGUCACACCAUGGGAGUCGGGAAUGCCCGAAGUCAGUGACCCAACCUAUAGGAGGGAGCUGCCGAAGGCAGGUCUGAUAACUGGGGUGAAGUCGUAACAAGGUACC